rnacentral:rRNA from 1 species
UACGGAGGGGGCUAGCGUUGUCCGGAAUCACUGGGCGUAAAGGGUGCGUAGGCGGCCAUGUAAGUGGGGUGUGAAAUCCCUCGGCUCAACCGAGGAACUGCGCUCCAUACUGCAUGGCUUGAGGGAGACAGGGGUAAGCGGAACUGAUGGUGGAGCGGUGAAAUGCGUUGAUAUCAUCAGGAACACCGGUGGCGAAAGCGGCUUACUGGGUCUCUUCUGACGCUGAGGUACGAAAGCUAGGGGAGCGAACGGG